CCUACGGGUGGCAGCAGUGAGGAAUAUUGGUCAAUGGGCUUACGCCUGAACCAGCCAAGUCGCGUGAGGGAAGACUGCCCUAUGGGUUGUAAACCUCUUUUGUCAGGGAGCAACGCCGGCUACGUGUAGCCGGCCUGAGAGUACCUGAAGACAAAGCAUCGGCUAACUCCGUGCCAGCAGCCGCGGUAAUACGGAGGAUGCGAGCGUUCUCCGGAUUUAUUGGGUUUAAAGGGAGCGUAGAUGGGUUGUUAAGUCAGUUGUGAAAGUUUGCGGCUCAACCGUAAAAUUGCAAUUGAUACUGGCAGGCUGGAGUACAGUUGAGGUAGGCGGAAUUCGUGGUGUAGCGGUGAAAUGCUUAGAUAUCACGAAGAACUCCGAUUGCGAUGGCAGCUUACUAAACUGCCACUGACAUUGAUGCUCGAAAGUGUGGGGAGCAAACAGGAUUAGAUACCCCAGUAGUC
rnacentral:rRNA from 1 species